UGCUUACGUUUUGGUUGACCGGCCAUCUC
rnacentral:piRNA from 1 species